rnacentral:rRNA from 1 species
UUUGGCAUAUCAAAAAGCGGAGGAAAAGAAACCAACAGGGAUUGCCCUAGUAACGGCGAGUGAAGCGGCAACAGCUCAAAUUUGAAAUCUGGCCUCUUUUGGGGUCCGAGUUGUAAUUUGCAGAGGGCGCUUUGGAGUCGGCAGCGGUCCAAGUUCCUUGGAACAGGACGUCACAGAGGGUGAGAAUCCCGUACGUGGUCGCUAGCCUUCUCCGUGUAAAGCCCCUUCGACGAGUCGAGUUGUUUGGGAAUGCAGCUCUAAAUGGGAGGUAAAUUUCUUCUAAAGCUAAAUAUUGGCCAGAGACCGAUAGCGCACAAGUAGAGUGAUCGAAAGAUGAAAAGCACUUUGGAAAGAGAGUCAAAAAGCACGUGAAAUUGUUGAAAGGGAAGCGCUUGCAGCCAGACUUGCCUGUAGUUGCUCAUCCGGGCUUUUGCCCGGUGCACUCUUCUAUAGGCAGGCCAGCAUCAGUUUGGGCGGUUGGAUAAAGGUCUCUGUCAUGUACCUCUCUUCGGGGAGAACUUAUAGGGGAGACGCCAUGCAACCAGCUCAGACUGAGGUCCGCGCAUUCGCUAGGAUGCUGGCGUAAUGGCUGUAAGCGGCCCGUCUUGAAACACGGACCCAAAA